rnacentral:misc_RNA from 1 species
AGCAGAGGAAAAAUCUACACAUUUAUAAGCUAAACCUAUAUAAAGGAGAAAUCUUAAUACAGGAAAAAAAAAAUGCCAAUAUGCAUUUUCCUAUAGGCAAAGGUGCAUCUCUUUGCUUCUCCUUAUCUACAUUAGCAACUCANNNNNAACUCAAGCGUAGCCCAAAAAACAAAAGAAAAACUAAUAAUUGUGGUUGAUUGAUGCUAGGUACUCCAAAACUAAGAAAGUGUAGGACGUCCUAUACAAGAAAACUAAAUAAAAAGGCUCUCCAUAUCGCCUUCAGUGCUGUUGUAACACACCAAUCCUUUUACAUAUUGGACCAUUGACUGGCAAAUGAUAAUAUCUUCUCUGCCAAAAUUUGUAGCAACAUUGUUUUAUAGGGCAUCGACUUACUUGGAAAAAGCCCCUCCAGAAAAGCUGUAGCAAUAGAAGAUUCUGCAGCAGAACCAAAAAGUAUUGGGCAGUUCUAUCCGUUUAACAAAAAGGAUCUUGCAUAAGUAGAUCAAAUUGGUUUAACAGAUUCUCCACUUAAUUCUCUUCUAACCAACUUUAGAAUUUCCAUAAUUCCAGGAUAGUGUUGCAAUAUCGGAGAAUAAUGAUCUAGUGCUAUGUAUAUUUUUUCGAGAAGGCUUAGAAGAGUAUCCACCUCAUCACCUAAAAGAUCAACCUCAGCUUCAGCCUUUUGAAGGUCUGAACACCUCUUUUCAAGCCUCUGCUUGUACAGCAACCCUGUCUUUUUAAGUUUGAUAGCUUUCUGAAUGAGAGAACUCAAUUGAGAGCUCAAAGUU